rnacentral:rRNA from 1 species
CCUACGGGUGGCAGCAGUGAGGAAUAUUGGUCAAUGGGCGCGAGCCUGAACCAGCCAAGUCGCGUGAGGGAAGACGGUCCUAUGGAUUGUAAACCUCUUUUGUCGGGGAGCAAAAGACGCCACGCGUGGCGUUCCGAGAGUACCCGAAGAAAAAGCAUCGGCUAACUCCGUGCCAGCAGCCGCGGUAAUACGGAGGAUGCGAGCGUUAUCCGGAUUUAUUGGGUUUAAAGGGUGCGCAGGCGGAAGAUGAAGUCAGCGGUAAAAUUGAGUGGCUCAACCCCUUCGAGCCGUUGAAACUGGUUGUCUUGAGUGAGUGAGAGGUAUGCGGAAUGCGUGGUGUAGCGGUGAAAUGCAUAGAUAUCACGCAGAACUCCGAUUGCGAAGGCAGCAUACCGGCGCUCAACUGACGCUGAUGCACGAAAGUGUGGGUAUCGAACAGGAUUAGAUACCCGAGUAGUC